AUUUAUUGAUUGACAUAUGUUGAACCAACUUUGCAUCUCAGGAAUAGAACUUACUUGAUCAUGUUGGAAUAGCUUUUUGAUGUGAUGCUGGAUUCAGUUUUCAAGUAUUUUGUUGAGAAUUUUCGCAUCAAUGUUCAUCAAAAAUAAUGGCCUGAAGUUUUCUUUUUUUGUUGUGUCUCUGCCAGGUUUGGGUAUGAGGAUGAUGCUGGUCUCAGAUAAUGAGUUGGAGAUAAGUCUCUCCAUGUUGCAUAGUGCCUGUCACAUAUUAUGUAGUCAAUCAAUAUUUAUUUGAUUAGGAGGUAAUUUAUGAGAUGCAUUUAUCUCAACAGAACUUUUUUUAUUACAUAUUUAAACCAUAGGAAUGAGCCACAGGCACCUUCAUUGUCACUGAGGCUCGUAUUUUGAAGUCUCUGACAUUUAACAGAAUUACUCAAGGGAGUUAAUGGUUCCAAAGUAUGCUGCAAAUUGUCUGCACAACGUGUGUGUGUUUUUUUGUUUGUUUGUUUUUGUUUUUUUUAAAUAACCUGGGAGUGGCUUCUCUUUCUACGCGUAACACUAGAGUCUCAAAAUUAUUUUGCUGGAUUAAUUAAUCCAUUUGAUAACAAUACUUAGUAAGAACAACUGUGGCAGUCACACUGCCAGGUGUAAGAGCUCCAAUGAGGAUUAGAGUUACAGUGCGUAUUAAAAUAAUUGGCACCAUCCUGUAAGCUUAAAACCACUGCCUGUCAAUCAUUUGAAAAGUACACUGAUCUGUAUAAUAUUCUAAAGAAACUUAAAAAUGCACACACAGAUACACAUGCAUAUAUUCACAGUUAUAUUCAAUCUGUAUAAAGUCACAGUCUUUGUUCAGGAGAAAUUUCCAUUUUGUUACAUAAUGUUUGAAAAUCUCUAUAAACAACUGAUAAAAGAAAAAGAUCUCCUACCCUAUGAGUUUUACUUGGCUUUGCCCCAAGAGACUAAAUGAGAUAAUAAUGGAUAUUUUGCAAGGAAAAGAUAUAUUCAUGCACAUUUUUAAAUAAAGAGUUAGAUAUUUUAAAUUACUCAUUUGAAAACAGAAGUUUGGAGUUUCACAUGACUUCAAGUUUCAUAUGUUUAUCUAUCCUGUGUAGCUGUAUUUUUAUUUGCUCAAAAUCUUAUUGUACCUAUAAAUACAUCUAAUAAUUUCUGUUACAUUAGUUGUUUAUUUGAUUAAUUUAUUAUCCUGUGUGUUACUUAAAAACAUGCUUAAUCACUAUAGUUAUCAAUAGUUCCUAGGAUGAUACCUGAUACAACAUAAACAUUUAAUAAUUGCUUUAUUGAGUUGAAUUGAAUUGAAUUGAAUUCAAUUCAAUUCAAUUCAAUAAAUGUGUAAAACAGAAAGCCUGGUGGAUAGUUAUCUAUUUGGUGUUAAACAAUAUAUUGGGCUUUAGAUUUAUAAAAUUAUAAAAAAAUAAAUUACAUUAAUAUUUUUCUAUACAAAAAAAUUAGAAAAUAGUACCAAGUAACGACAGGCAAAUAUUUUAAAACUUUCCUUUUCAUGAACCUUUCCAUGAUAUCUACAUGAAAAGAAAAUGAAUCUGCCAUUAUAGAAGCUAAUAAAGGAAGUCGCAAAUCUAAGAUUGUAUUAUAAAAUAACUGAUGACAUUGGUAG
rnacentral:lncRNA from 1 species